rnacentral:rRNA from 1 species
GGCGAACGGGUGAGUAACACGUGAGAAAUCUGCCCCUGACUCUGGGAUAACUGCGGGAAACUGUAGCUAAUACCGGAUACUUUCCCUGGUGGGCAUCCACUGGGGAAGAAAGAAUUUCGGUCAGGGAGGAUCUCGCGGCCUAUCAGCUAGUUGGUGAGGUAACGGCUCACCAAGGCGACGACGGGUAACCGGCCUGAGUGGGUGACCGGUCACACUGGGACUGAGACACGGCCCAGACUCCUACGGGAGGCAGCAGUGGGGAAUAUUGCACAAUGGGCGCAAGCCUGAUGCAGCAACGCCGCGUGAGGGAUGAAGGCCUUCGGGUUGUAAACCUCUUUUAGCAGGGAAGAAGCGAAAGUGACGGUACCUGCAGAAAAAGCACCGGCUAACUACGUGCCAGCAGCCGCGGUAAUACGUAGGGUGCAAGCGUUGUCCGGAAUUAUUGGGCGUAAAGAGCUCGUAGGCGGUUUGUCACGUCUGCUGUGAAAAUCCAAGGCUCAACCUUGGACUUGCAGUGGGUACGGGCAGGCUAGAGUGCGGUAGGGGAGAUGGGAAUUCCUGGUGUAGCGGUGGAAUGCGCAGAUAUCAGGAGGAACACCAAUGGCGAAGGCACAUCUCUGGGCCGUAACUGACGCUGAGGAGCGAAAGCGUGGGGAGCGAACAGGAUUAGAUACCCUGGUAGUCCACGCCGU